rnacentral:rRNA from 1 species
AUGGAUCCGAAUUCAACUUAACUACUGAAAAUUAAAAUGCUUGGCAACCUAAAAAAAGCUAUAAAGGAUAUCCAUUGCUUUUGCUUUGAGAAGGUUAUUGACUCUGAUGUAACAAAUUAUAAGGACCCAGUUGAAUCAAUUGUAGAGCAGUACCCGCCAUGUUAUUUGGAAGUUCCACAUGUUCAGUACUAUGAUAAUUUUCUUAAAAUUUACCCUGAAGUAACAUAUGACCAAGAAUUGGUGUAUAUAUUUGAGAAACACUCUAAGAAAAAGGUUGUGCACAUGUUCUUUGCAUAUUGUGAUCCAUCUGAACCAUAUGAGCCUAUCACGGAGUGGCAUAGUGAUUACAUAUAUAGCCUAUCUAACGACACAGAACAAGAUGAUAGUUAUCUUCGCAACCCAGUACCUGAGAAUGAGCUUGUUGGUAUUGAUAUGAGGAAAAUAUUUAUUAGGGAUGAACCCAUACCUCUUAUCGUGGUUCCUUGUUCCGAUAUAGAAAAGGACUAAGACAAUGUUCUUGAUCAUAAGAUUGAGGCUGAGAGCAAGGAUGAGAGCAUGUCAGAGGUUGUAGUAGAGGAAGAUGAGGAUGAUGAGGAAUUGCUCGAGGCAGAUCAUGCACCACAUUUAGAAUAUGAUAAAUUAGAUCCUCCAAUGACCGAAGGCAGAAAAUAUCCCAAUAUGGCAGCGUUUAAGUUGGCGCUUUCUUAGCAUGCAAUCAAACAUGAAUUUGAGAACACUGAGAAGAGUGCACCACAUAGGUUCAAGGCUUAUUGUUCAAGAAGGGAUGAAUACAAGUGUCAAUGGAGGCUAUAUGCUUCUACAAUGGAAGAUGAGUGCAUCAUAAUGGUAAUUUUCUAA